rnacentral:tRNA from 1 species
AUGAGAUGAAGCUUUAAGCCAUUUAUUUACAUUAAAUAGUUCUUUGAUAGUAUGUCAAAGCAUCUUAA